GACGAACGCUGGCGGCGUGCCUAAUACAUGCAAGUAGAACGCUGAAGAGAGGAGCUUGCUCUUCUUGGAUGAGUUGCGAACGGGUGAGUAACGCGUAGGUAACCUGCCUUGUAGCGGGGGAUAACUAUUGGAAACGAUAGCUAAUACCGCAUAACAAUGGAUGACACAUGUCAUUUAUUUGAAAGGGGCAAUUGCUCCACUACAAGAUGGACCUGCGUUGUAUUAGCUAGUAGGUGAGGUAAUGGCUCACCUAGGCGACGAUACAUAGCCGACCUGAGAGGGUGAUCGGCCACACUGGGACUGAGACACGGCCCAGACUCCUACGGGAGGCAGCAGUAGGGAAUCUUCGGCAAUGGGGGCAACCCUGACCGAGCAACGCCGCGUGAGUGAAGAAGGUUUUCGGAUCGUAAAACUCUGUUGUAAGUCAAGAACGGGUGUGAGAGUGGAAAGUUCACACUGUGACGGUAGCUUACCAGAAAGGGACGGCUAACUACGUGCCAGCAGCCGCGGUAAUACGUAGGUCCCGAGCGUUGUCCGGAUUUAUUGGGCGUAAAGCGAGCGCAGGCGGUUUGAUAAGUCUGAAGUUAAAGGCUGUGGCUCAACCAUAGUUCGCUUUGGAAACUGUCAAACUUGAGUGCAGAAGGGGAGAGUGGAAUUCCAUGUGUAGCGGUGAAAUGCGUAGAUAUAUGGAGGAACACCGGUGGCGAAAGCGGCUCUCUGGUCUGUAACUGACGCUGAGGCUCGAAAGCGUGGGGAGCGAACAGGAUUAGAUACCCUGGUAGUCCACGCCGUAAACGAUGAGUGCUAGGUGUUGGAUCCUUUCCGGGAUUCAGUGCCGCAGCUAACGCAUUAAGCACUCCGCCUGGGGAGUACGACCGCAAGGUUGAAACUCAAAGGAAUUGACGGGGGCCCGCACAAGCGGUGGAGCAUGUGGUUUAAUUCGAAGCAACGCGAAGAACCUUACCAGGUCUUGACAUCCCGAUGCUAUUUCUAGAGAUAGAAAGUUACUUCGGUACAUCGGUGACAGGUGGUGCAUGGUUGUCGUCAGCUCGUGUCGUGAGAUGUUGGGUUAAGUCCCGCAACGAGCGCAACCCCUAUUGUUAGUUGCCAUCAUUCAGUUGGGCACUCUAGCGAGACUGCCGGUAAUAAACCGGAGGAAGGUGGGGAUGACGUCAAAUCAUCAUGCCCCUUAUGACCUGGGCUACACACGUGCUACAAUGGUUGGUACAACGAGUUGCGAGUCGGUGACGGCGAGCUAAUCUCUUAAAGCCAAUCUCAGUUCGGAUUGUAGGCUGCAACUCGCCUACAUGAAGUCGGAAUCGCUAGUAAUCGCGGAUCAGCACGCCGCGGUGAAUACGUUCCCGGGCCU
rnacentral:rRNA from 1 species